GAUGAACGCUAGCGGGAGGCUUAACACAUGCAAGUCGAGGGGCAGCAUGGAGUAGCAAUACUCUGAUGGCGACCGGCAGACGGGUGAGUAACGCGUAUGUAACCUACCCUGUACAGGGGGAUAACCCGGAGAAAUUCGGACUAAUACCCCAUGGAAAUAUUGAGAGGCAUCUUGAGAUAUUUAAAGUUCCGGCGGUACGGGAUGGGCAUGCGUAACAUUAGCUAGUUGGUAAGGUAACGGCUUACCAAGGCUUUGAUGUUUAGGGGUCCUGAGAGGGUGGUCCCCCACACUGGUACUGAGACACGGACCAGACUCCUACGGGAGGCAG
rnacentral:rRNA from 1 species